UUCUUUGCGCUUGGGGCAAUGACGUAGUUAGUGAGGUUCUAACCAAGGCGCGUCUGUUGCUUGAAAACUAUUUCCAAACCUCCUCUUCGGCCGGGGCUUGACUCGGGCCAUUGGGAAUUUCUGGAAGGGCUCCCUCUUUUGGUCAAGCC